rnacentral:SRP_RNA from 1 species
CUUCAGACUCCGCACAACGUGCGCGUUGUGAAUCCGCUAGGCGGGGAACCGAGCAACGGCAGCAAAAGCGGCGUGUGUUGCGGGUUAGUCUGAAGCCU